CGGGAGCCGCCGCCCCCUUCCGCUGCCGGAGCCGCCGCCCCUUCGCCACGGGAGCCGCCCGUCGCCCUUCGACACCCGAGUCGCUCAGCUUGGCCUCUGCCCCGCCGCCCCCGGUCCUCUUCUGCUUCAACUUCAACAAUGUAGCAAAACUUCACCGCAAAAUGGGCCACUCCCUCCUGAUGCUCUCAUGGUGCCAUGCCAAACUCUUUUCAUGCUGAAGGGCUUCUCAGGUCCAAAAAAUACUCUCAUAAUUGCUUUAACAUUUAUCUCCUUGAGCUAUAACAACAGUUCCACGACAAGGUUGCUUGCAAUAUUUUAGAAAACUGUAUUAUAUUCUGGACAUUUUAUAUUACAUGACAAUGAAUUUGGCUUGAAAUGCUCCUGAUGAGGCUUAAAAGUUCUUGAAGUGUGUUAAGACCCACUAUCAUAUUCAGAUUUAUUCACCAUUAAAUUUCUAUAAAGGGACUUGCCAAUCCCUUUCACCCAUACCAAAAAGUGUGUUUCCAGAGAGCAUGAUAGGUGAAAUGCAUUUUUCUUCUUAAAUUUUAACCUUUGGGCAGGGAUGCUUUGUAAAACACGGCAUGGUGAUGAAAAUCUCUUCUUAGAAAAUUAAUUUAUAAUGAGAAGUUAUGUUCUAAUUUGCUCUAGCCGUAGAAUUAAUGAAGGUGGGUUAAGAGUUGUGCCUAUUUAAUUAGCGUGAAACUUCUAUGCAUAUGGCACCUUUGAUCUUAAGUUCAUUGGUCUUUCAUAUGAUGGUGACACAGGCGAAUCAUCUUGAGGUGAAAGUCAUAAAUUAUUUGAAAGUCAUAAAUUAUGUUUUGGCGUUGUUGCUUUGUUUGAGGUGUUUUUCUCACCAUGAAUGAUAUAAGCAUAUCUUUGCAAUUUUACCUCGAUGCACUCAGUCACCAGGAAGAAAAUUUCACAAGUUGCAACUCAAGAAUUCUCCAUGAUAGAAGUGGUGUGCAAUAUGUAUUCUCCCAUUCAAGCGACAUUGUAGCUUAUUUACAUAAAUUUCACUCUUGUCUGCAUAUAGUCUUUAUUAUGUCUGCCUUGCUACUCUGAACUGGAGUGAUGUUCUUUUAUUGUUAUCUAUGCAAACGAAUAGAUGAUAGUACAUCAAGUGUCUUAAUAUCUGUACUGCGACUAAUAUUUGAAGUUUUGCUUUUGCCGAAACUCUCAAAGGUGUCGCAUGCGAGCUUUAGAAAACGCAUUCAGAUUUCAGAGUUGAUCAAUCCAUUGAAGUGUAAGGUGUUGCAUGCGAGCUUUAGAAAAUGCAUGCAGAUUUCAGAGUUGAUCAAUCCAUUGAAGUGUAACUGCAGCUGGAGUGACCAUACACACAUGCAACAUUGUAGUUUAAGACCUCUAAACAAUAGCCUGGCAAGUUCUUAUCCUGAUGUCAGCUCCUGUGUCUUGAGUAAGCGUCAGUGGCAUCCCUAUGCCCAACAACAAUCAUACAAGCAUUAUUUUGGCAAGUUUAGGUUAUUUCUGGCACACAUUUAAUUUUUGCAAGUUGUGAUUUUAUUUUUGACGUGAAGUGAUUUUUUCCACAAUUGGAAAGCAUCUCUAUUACCUCGAUUAUAUUUUUGUUCAUUUUACUGAUAUAUUUUCUCUCUUGAUCACAUGAUAUUAUGUGCGUUGCACGUGCACGAUUACUAUUUGGGGUAGUGUGUAGGAUCUUCACAGUUUCAAACAUGGCUAUUUCUGGCACCGCUAUCUCUUGCGUGAAUGUCCUCCUGGUUUCCAUGUCGGUGCCUACAUCAAUGUUCUACCAUGAUGUUACCAGGUAUUGUCCAUUGGCUGGUUAUGAACUGCUAUAUCUGUUAGUAAAUAGCUGGCAUAUUAGAUAGUGGGCAGUCUAAACGUAUCAUGACAUGCAAAAGAGCAUCCAGAACUGCAUCAUCGUUUUUUCAUGAAAAUAAUAAUUUUAUAAUACCACAAUUUUGAAACUUCUGUACUAACAUAUAAAAGAAAUGAUGGACAAGAUUAUAUGUCAUAAUUUUAUUAACUCUGGGAUCCUCUGUGUGUAUUUGAUUGGUCUCUGGUUAGAUUUUGGGAGGCAAAAUUUUGGUCUCUGGUACCUAGAUAAUUUACUGCAGUGAAUGUGUAGAAUAGGCGGUACUCACACAAGAACAAGUAGAAAUACUUUCAAUGCUCAUCUGAUCUACUUUUUUUUGCCUUAUAAUUAACAUGUUUCCUUUUUCUGAUAUUUUUGUUCUUCAGUUUAAGCUGCUACUAUGGUCAGUCAUAAAGCAUCAUUCUCUAGCUACAACAUCUGUUGAUGUUUGCCGCCAAAGCAACAUUAAAUUAUGAACUGAUAUUAAUAGCGAAGGUAUGGUCAAAGAUUCUAUUCUUGAUGUGAGGAACCGAUGAGGGCGGAUGGCCGGAAACUCUGGAUUGGAUCCAUGUUUUCUUACUGGAGUUUUAAUCUGAUCGCUGGAUAAACUAAGUGCAUACGUGUGUCUAUAUGCAUUCUUUUCAAUGGUAAUUUUGAUAUUUGUUUUUCCAAACUAAGCUUGUAUUUUUUAGAAACGAUAAAGUUCUUCAUAAAUCCAUUGAAACAUUCUCCAGCAAAGCUCAUGAGGAGCAUAUGAGUUCCCUUUUAAUACAGAGGCUCGAACUUAUUGUAUUCUGAAUACAUUUCCAUCUAUUCAUUUUCCCAUGUAAACAAGUAACUGGCGAUCAGAUCGGAUUCGAGGACCAUCGUCUCUCAUGUGUUACGUAUUAGUGAUGCCUACAUGACAGUGGAAAAUGUACGAAUAUGCAGUGUUGACAGUAACAAGAUACUUCUUCUCUUGCAACCAAAAGUAUUGCUUCUGAUUACAGUGAGGCGGCUUGAUGGAUCAUCGGCCUCAUGGCAAAAUUAGAGACAGAGGAGGGAGGAGGCUUCAUAGAAGCACAACUUCAAGAGCUCAGGAAGAUCAAACCGAAGAAAGACAACACUCAGCGCAACAUGCUCGUGUCGAUGAUGCCGGUGCAGAGGAAGAUUGUGGGAUUGAUCAGUGAGAGCAGGGACGUGCUUACCAGCGAGCACAAGAGCAUCUGGUGGAGCCAGUAGAUCCCCAGGGAGGAGUAGGCGGGCGUACAUUGUCCAGUUCUUCUGUAAAAAAUGUCACUCUACACAAUAUAAUUGUUUAGAACAACACACAUGAUAUACUCGACUAAUCAUCCUUUAUAAAUCAACAGGCUGGUAUGAGAUGUUAAAA